CCUUCAUGAAGCUGGAAUUGCUAGUAAUGGCAGGUCAGCAUACUGCCGUGAAUACGUUCCCGGGCCUUGUACACACCGCCCGUCACACCAUGAGAGUUGGAAAUACCCGAAGCCUGUGAGCUAACUGUAAAGAGGCAGCAGUCGAAGGUAGAGCCAAUGAUUGGGGUGAAGUCGUAACAAGGUAAC
rnacentral:rRNA from 1 species